ACAGUGCCUGGCAUAUAGCAGGCAUUAAAAAAUAUUUGUUAAAUAGUUCAACAAAUGAAUGAGGGAAUGACAUGGAAAUGCCCUUUAAGGUAAUUAUAUUUUUAAAAGAAGAUAAAUUUAUUGUGUAUGCCUAAGAUACAUAACAUGAUUUUCUAAGACACAUACAGUCAUGUACCACAUAACAAUGUUUCAGUAAAUGACAGACCGCAUAUACAAUGGUGGUCCUAUAAUAUUAUAAUGGAGCUGAAAAAUUUCUAUCACCUAGUGAUGUCAUAGUUAUCAUAACGUCAUGGCAUAAUACAUUACUCAUGUGUUUUUGGUGAUGUU
rnacentral:lncRNA from 1 species